GAAGGCAGUCUACAAGUGACACGUAACACAUAUGAUUAUCAGGGUAGCGGACUUCUUGAUCAAUGUCACCUACCACCUCGAACAUCUAUGGCAGUAAAAUUAGAAGAUGACGCUGCGUUACAGUUUUCCUUUGACCCGAUUUCCGUCAACAAUCGAGUUCUGCAUGAUCUGACAGCAGAGGACCAUCGCUAUGAAGUCAGGCAAUGCCAGCUGACGGUGUGGAUAAGAAGCUCGCCUAUAACCGUAACGCCUUUCCUCAGGACGUUGUCACCGUCGGGAAAAGGGGUGUUGUGUCAUUCCAGUGACCCUUUCCAAACUAUAGCGGAGGCCAGUGUGGUUUACUACUUGGGGGACAAGGCCAUUCC